GCGGAUAUGGUGGAAUUGGCAGACACGCAGGAUUUAGGUUCCUGUGGGAGACCGUGCAGGUUCGAGUCCUGUUAUCCGCACCA
rnacentral:tRNA from 1 species